UACGAAGGGGGCUAGCGUUGCUCGGAAUCACUGGGCGUAAAGCGCACGUAGGCGGCUUUGCAAGUGACGGGUGAAAGCCCUCGGCUUAACCGAGGAACUGCCUGUCAGACUGUGAGGCUUGAGACCGGGAGAGGUGAGUGGAAUUCCCAGUGUAGCGGUGAAAUGCGUAGAUAUUGGGAGGAACACCAGUGGCGAAGGCGGCUCACUGGACCGGAACUGACGCUGAGGCGCGAAAGCGUGGGGAGCAAACAGG
rnacentral:rRNA from 1 species